UUCCGGCACGAGCGCAACCCACAUCCUUAGUUGCCAGCAGUUCGGCUGGGCACUCUAGGGAAACUGCCCGUGAUAAGCGGGAGGAAGGUGUGGAUGACGUCAAGUCCUCAUGGCCCUUACGGGUUGGGCUACACACGUGCUACAAUGGCAGUGACAAUGGGUUAAUCCCAAAAAGCUGUCUCAGUUCGGAUUGGGGUCUGCAACUCGACCCCAUGAAGUCGGAAUCGCUAGUAAUCGCGUAACAGCAUGACGCGGUGAAUACGUUCCCGGGCCUU
rnacentral:rRNA from 1 species